rnacentral:rRNA from 1 species
GACGAACGCUGGCGGCGUGCUUAACACAUGCAAGUCGAACGAUGAAGCCUAGCUUGCUAGGUGGAUUAGUGGCGAACGGGUGAGUAAUACGUGAGUGACCUACCUUUGACUCUGGGAUAAGCCUGGGAAACUGGGUCUAAUACCGGAUACGACCAAUCUCCGCAUGGGGUGUUGGUGGAAAGCGUUAUGGAGUGGUUUUAGAUGGGCUCACGGCCUAUCAGCUUGUUGGUGAGGUAAUGGCUUACCAAGGCGACGACGGGUAGCCGGCCUGAGAGGGUGACCGGCCACACUGGGACUGAGACACGGCCCAGACUCCUACGGGAGGCAGCAGUGGGGAAUAUGCACAAUGGGCGCAAGCCUGAUGCAGGACGCCGCGUGAGGGAUGAC